rnacentral:tRNA from 1 species
UUAAUUGAAGCCAAAGAAAAGAGGCAUAUCACUGUUAAUGAUAUCAUUGGGUCAACCCCCAAUUAAG